UACGGAGGGUGCAAGCGUUGUUCGGAAUCACUGGGCGUAAAGGGCGUGUAGGCGGUCCGCUAAGUCUGAUGUGAAAGCCCGGGGCUCACCCCCGGAAGGGCAUUGGAAACUGGCGGACUCGAGUCCCGGAGAGGAAGGUGGAAUUCCUGGUGUAGCGGUGAAAUGCGUAGAUAUCGGGGGGAACACCUGUGGCGAAGGCGGCCGCCUGGUUGGAUACUGACGCUGAGACGCGAAAGCGUGGGGAGCAAACAGG
rnacentral:rRNA from 1 species